AACGAACGCUGGCGGCAUGCCUAACACAUGCAAGUCGAACGAGACCUUCGGGUCUAGUGGCGCACGGGUGCGUAACGCGUGGGAAUCUGCCCUUGGGUUCGGAAUAACAGUUAGAAAUGACUGCUAAUACCGGAUAAUGUCUUCGGACCAAAGAUUUAUCGCCCAGGGAUGAGCCCGCGUAGGAUUAGCUAGUUGGUGAGGUAAAAGGCUCACCCAAGGCGACGAUCCUUAGCUGGUCUGAGAGGAUGAUCAGCCACACUGGGACUGAGACACGGCCCAGACUCCUACGGGAGGCAGCAGUGGGGAAUAUUGGACAAUGGGCGAAAGCCUGAUCCAGCAAUGCCGCGUGAGUGAUGAAGGCCUUAGGGUUGUAAAGCUCUUUACCCGGGAUGAUAAUGACAGUACCGGGAGAAUAAGCCCCGGCUAACUCCGUGCCAGCAGCCGCGG
rnacentral:rRNA from 1 species